CGAAAGCCUGACGGAGCAACGCCGCGUGAGGGAUGAAGGCCUCUGGGCUGUAAACCUCUUUUCUCAAGGAAGAAGAUCUGACGGUACUUGAGGAAUAAGCCACGGCUAAUUCCGUGCCGGCAGCCGCGGUAAUACGGGAGUGGCAAGCGUUAUCCGGAAUCAUUGGGCGUAAAGCGUCCGCAGGCGGCCUUGAAAGUCUGUCGUUAAAGCGUGGAGCUUAACUCCAUUUCAGCGAUGGAAACUACAAGGCUUGAGUGUGGUAGGGGCAGAGGGAAUUCCCGGUGUAGCGGUGAAAUGCGUAGAUAUCGGGAAGAACACCAGUGGCGAAGGCGCUCUGCUGGGCCAUAACUGACGCUCAUGGACGAAAGCCAGGGGAGCG
rnacentral:rRNA from 1 species